AUUGAACGCUGACGGCAGGCCUAACACAUGCAAGUCGAACGGCAGCGGGGGGUAGCUUGCUACCCCGCCGGCGAGUGGCGGACGGGUGAGUAAUGCCUGGGGAGCUGCCCAAUCGAGGGGGAGACCAGUUGGCACCGACUGCUAAUACCGCAUACGCCCGGAGGGGGAAAGGUGGGGAUCUUCGGACCUAUCGCGAUUGGAUGCACCCGGGUGGGAUUAGCUAGUUGGUGAGGUAACGGCUCACCAAGGCGACGAUCUCUAGCUGGUCUGAGAGGAUGACCAGCCACACUGGAACUGAGACACGGUCCAGACUCCUACGGGAGGCAGCAGUGGGGAAUAUUGCACAAUGGGGGAAACCCUGAUGCAGCCAUGCCGCGUGUGUGAAGAAGGCCUUCGGGUUGUAAAGCACUUUCAGCGAGGAGGAAAGGGUGGCAGCUAAUACCUGUCAUCUGUGACGUUACUCGCAGAAGAAGCACCGGCUAACUCCGUGCCAGCAGCCGCGGUAAAAC
rnacentral:rRNA from 1 species